UCCUUGCUCGGCCGGAAGCGGCGGCGGCUCGACCGCCAGCUCGCUCGCGCGCGCAGUCUAUGCGGCCGGAAGGUUUUGGGCGAAAGGGAAUCCGGUUCUUAUUCCGGAACCUCCACCCGGAGAAGGUCUUACCCCUCGCCUAAAGUUGGUACUCCUGGUGACGGGAGGAAACCUGCUGCUGCCGGCCGCGGCCCAGGGAAGAGUUUUCUUUUCUGCUUAAGAGGUCUUGGCCCUGGAAGCAACUUGCAAGGCGAGAGGGCCUUAUAAAACCCGUAGAGCGUCGCAGUUCUUGCGGCGUCCUGAGUGCCGCGAUCUUUUGCCGGUCCCUGAAGCAGCAGGGGAAGGGGUCAAAUUUUCGGGG
rnacentral:rRNA from 1 species